rfam:Amazona aestiva scaffold_282, whole genome shotgun sequence.
AUGGCUUCACAGCCUUUUGGCUAAAAUCAAGUGUAGUGUCUGUUCUUACCAGUUUAACAUCUGAUAUGAUGAGAGGACUUUAUAUUAAAUGGCUUUUUGGCACUAGGAGUUGGAGCCAGAGCUUGCUCCCUUUUUUUGAACCUGAUGAUCUUAAAGGUCUUUUCCAACCUAGUUGAUUCUAAGAUCC